CGGCCGCCCCCGUGGGCAGGGCAGCGGCUCCGCGCCUCCGGAAGGGGCUCGAGUCCCGCAGCGCCGGGCCGGGGACAGGGAGCAGGCUCUGAGCCCGCCCGCCGCUGCCACGGAGGAUCCCCCUGCCGGGAGGGCGUGGGACGGAGAUCGCGGGUGCCCCUGCCCGCUGCCCGCGGCGAUGCGAGGCUGCUCAGACGCUCACUCGGCAGCCCCGGCCCGACCUCCGAGCCCACCCGCAGAUCCCGGGGCGGCUUCGCUGAAAACGCGCUCUGCAAAGCGCAGGGGUCAGUUUGUUCCUGGCAUCCGCAGGCUGGUGGGGCUGGUCCCUCACCCAGAACCAGACCGUGAGCUGCAAGUAAGAACAACCCCAAGUGAAGGAAGAAUUAAGGGAGUGAGGAGAAGGAGAAAUCAGAAGAGUUGCCUGUGGAGGAGUCUUAGUACCCAGAGCUGGAGCAGGGAGGUGGCAGAUUAAAACCCAUCCAUUUGAAAUGCAGAUGCUGAAAUAGUUCGGAGGACUGGAAACACUGUUCAACAGCAAACGGAAUGGGAAGAAGCCAAAGUCAUCUCUUUACAGUCCACCACUAGAAAGUAAGAAACUCGGGCUCUGAAAGUCUCAAGAGUCCUUCUCAGAGGACUCCCCAAGCAGGGAAGCUGCCUACAGCCUUCUCCGUGUUUGCUGAAAGAACGUCGCUCCUGGGGUAAGGAGAGGGAAAUACGAGAACUCAGAAAGCCUCAGUGUUCAUGUCAGAGCCAUCAAAUCGGUGUGCUCUGUUCACGGCUGGGAAAAACACCUUCAGAGCACCUGUAAUGCCAUAGCUGAGAACUAAUGCCAGAGAGGAGAACUGAAGACAAGCAGAAUGAUGAAGGAACUGGUUGCUACAGAUACAGUAACCCCAGAAAAGUCAUGCAAGUGUGCAAAACCUUUCCAGCUCAAGCUGGAAAGUUCUUGUAACUACCAAGGAAAGGGCAACUAAACUCCACAUAACAUAAAACCAAACGUUGGUUUUAAAAAAUACAAAAGAAUGUCUACACCAUUUUUUCACUCUCUGCAGUUUGUCUCCAAACCUUUGAGGUGGGGGUGAUCAAGAAAUUAUAUCACUACCAGUUAUGCGUUUCCUUUCAAAGAAAUGAAUAUAUGCAUUUUCAAUCAUUAGUUAUAUACUUCUGUCUAUACUACUAUUCUAGUAACCAUGAUAAAAUAGGGAAAUACUUUAAAUCAAAAAUACACAUUAGCACUUACUAUAGCUGUGCUUUUAGCCCAAAUACAGGCUUUUUCGUUCAGUGUCACUGUAGACAGAAAUACCCUUGACUGUGUGUUAGACCAAGAGAUAAACACUUUUCUUUUGCUCUUGUUUUUUUUGCUGCUUUUUCUUCUCAAAGGAGUGAGCAAUUUGCAGGGGGUGACCAAGUACUGCAUUUGCUAUUGUCGGCUGGGAUGAUGGACUGGAAAAACAGAACGAGAAUUCGGUGCCUCCCAUACUAGCUAGACAACACUGUUUAUCUAAUAAAGUGGCAAGACCCUGCAACUAUUAACAUGUAGUAUGUCACCAGUUUUUUCUGACAGGGAAUUAGGUAGAUAAUAUUACUCAUGGAAACACAGGUUUAUGAAGGUGGAGCGGGGUGGGAGGGGAAGUAACAAAGAGUUUAUGGGUUAAGAAACUCACAAGCCACAAUCUUUUUGUGUUUUU
rnacentral:lncRNA from 1 species